CAGUCAUUUCUAUAGUUGUGAAAACUAGUGAUACUAGUGAAAUGCGUUUCUAAAGUGUCUGGUCUCGCUAACCAUGUUGAGGAGUUACAGUGUUCUCUUCUGAGCGUGAAGCGGGUCUUGAAUGCUCCUUUACUGUAGCUGUUCCUGGCCAUUGAUGACCGUUCUGCCCUCCUUCGGGGGUGGAAGAAAAGAACACAAACGUUCGGAGUGGC